AUCCCUUCUCAUUUAAUUUUUCUGUUGGAAAAAUAAAUAAGAAAAGAAGGGAAAGUAUUUUCAUUCUCAUUGUUCUGAGUGUUGAAUCUGAAUUCUUCUCCUUCUUUUAUUAUUGUUUUGAGACCAAUUCCCUUUUCUUCUCAUCUGACACAUCUAAUCCAGUUUCUACCAAAGAACCUUUUUUCCUUCUUAUUCUGAAUCGUGGUGGUGGAGUAGCAGCAGUAGCAGCAGCGCGUGCCAUCUUGGGAGUUAGUAGACCCAACCCAACUCCUCAAUUGCUUCUUCCUCUAAGAAAGGGAUUUCAUUUUUUCAGCUUCACAAGCUCGUUUCGGAGCUGCCCACAAAAAAUGGCAAAGCGUGGAUACAAAUUUCGUAUCCUUUUUAAAAAAAUUAAACGAAUGUGUUUUGCUAGAGAAAAUGCUUGUUUGGACCUGCUUUCUUCUUCUUGUUGUUGUUUUUAGAAUAAAUUUGGUUAUUGUAGUUGAUUUUCUAUUGAAAUCUAGGCAGGUGUUUCUCUACAGCUUCAAAAGUCUUUUUAUUUUUGUUUUUUUGUGGUGUGUGUGUGCGUUGUCUUUUCUUCCCCUUUUGGGUUUUAUGUUUUGGGAGAGGGCAAGGUGGGAUUUAGUCUAAUCUGUUUGUUUUCUGGGUAAAAGAGUGAUACAAGUUUUGGAAGUUAUGGUAAAACGUUUUAUUUUUUUACAUCUUUGUUACUUUGGGUUGCCCGGAAUUUGUUGCAGAAGUUAUUGGGAGCUUUCAAGGUCUAGUUUUUUUUUUUUAUUUCUGUUUUACUUUAUAUUUUUCUAUUAUUGGAAGCAUUCAACAUUUUUUUCACUGAUCUUUGGAAAUCAGAAGAAGAGAUAACGAUUUUGCUGGUUUAGCUUAAAAGUGUGAUUUUUAAUUUGCGUGGUCUUGAUUUAUUUGUUUAGUUCUUCUCUUCAAUCUGAUUUUCUGUGUUGUUGACUGUGUUUGAUAAUGUGAAUUCCUGAGCCAAUCAACUUAGAGGAAUUUGUCGCUCAUUCAGCAACCGUCAAUUGUUUAAAUAUUGGAAAGAAGGCGUGCCGUCUUUUCAUUACAGGCGGGGACGAUCACAAAGUCAAUCUAUGGACGAUUGGCAAACCAACUUCUUUAAUGAGCCUUUCUGGUCAUACUAGUCCAGUUGAAUCUGUCGCAUUUGACUCAGGAGAAGUGUUGGUUCUUGCUGGAUCAUCGUCAGGUGUGAUAAAGCUUUGGGAUUUAGAAGAAGCAAAGAUGGUUCGCACUGUUGCUGGACACAGAUCCAAUUGUACUGCUGUUGAGUUUCAUCCCUUUGGUGAAUUUUUUGCAUCCGGCUCCAUGGACACUAAUCUAAAGAUUUGGGACAUCAGAAAAAAGGGAUGCAUUCAUACAUACAAGGGUCAUAGCCAGGGUAUCAGUACUAUCAAAUUCACUCCAGAUGGCCGAUGGGUUGUUUCUGGUGGAUUUGAUAAUGUUGUGAAGGUGUGGGAUCUAACAGCUGGGAAGCUCUUGCAUGACUUCAAGUUCCAUGAAGGCCACAUUAGGUCAUUAGAUUUCCAUCCGCUUGAGUUUCUUUUAGCUACAGGUUCUGCAGAUAGAACAGUGAAAUUUUGGGAUUUAGAAACCUUUGAACUUAUUGGAUCUGCCAGACGUGAGGCUACUGGGGUACGCUCAAUAGCUUUUCAUCCUGAUGGAAGGACCCUAUUUACUGGACAUGAAGAUGGUUUGAAGGUGUAUUCAUGGGAACCUGUUAUAUGUCAUGAUACUGUUGAUAUGGGAUGGACAACACUUGGUGAUCUCUGUAUUCAUGAUGGGAAACUUUUGGGGUGCUCAUUCUACCGAAAUUCUGUUGGAGUCUGGGUAGCAGAUAUAUCGCUUAUUGAGCCAUAUGGUGAUGGCUUGGAUCCUAAGAAAAAAGAAGGCACUGAGCAGAAACUUAGUCUUAAGGGAAGUAAACUGGAGAAAGUAGAGGUUAAUGUAGGACCAACAUCUGGGUUUCGCAGCGUGUCUCCUGAUGAGUCAAAAGAGAUAAAGAAUAUUUACAUUGAUUCUUCUGGUGGGAAGCCUGUUACUUUACAAAGAUCAGGGUCUUUGAGUUCCUCAAAAGUGGAUCUCCGAGAGGAAUCCAAGGAAAUUUGUAACUUGGGAAUGCUGAAGCAGAAUCCUGCAGCAGGAGUUCAUGUAAAAUCAAAUGAACAAGCAAUUAGAAAAUCUUUUGUUGUGCCAAAUAUUGUACCUCGGGACACUCCUGACAGUAAGGUCUCAGCAAAAUCUGAAAAAGAGACCAUCACCUUUUCAAAGACAAAGCCUGGAAUGUUACUUAAACCAGCUCAUGUACGGAGAGCAUCCACUGGCAGAUUUGAUGUUGAUAGGUUUUCAGAAAAUGUGAAUUCUGGAAAUUAUUGCGAUAGUGCAAGUAAAUUAGACAGCACAAAAGAUCCUAUGUUCCAAAUGAAUCUAGGACCUCAGAAUGAAGUCAAAGAAUCUUGUGAAGAUAAACAUCCUAUCAAGAGUGUUACAGACAAAUUUGACAGGACUGUAUCUCCAAGCAGAUUUUCUGACCAAGCAAAACGUGAUGAGCCUUCACCUUGCAAUGAAGAGAUUAGUCCAGUUAAAUAUAUCAAUGGAGUUGCUGUUGUACGAGGAAGGACCCGGUCAUUAGUUGAGAGGUUUGAGAGAAGGGAAAGAAUUCAAAUCAAGGAAGAUCAAACCAAUGUGUACCUGCCCACAAUAAACGAAAUGAGAUCAAAAGUUCACAAUGAAGAUCAAAUUAAUCCGUGUCCCAUGGUAUUUGAGAGGAAGGAAAGACUUCCCCGCCAUGAAGAUCAAAACAGUAUGCCCUCCAUUCCCAAGACAAUAUCUGAGACAGAUAAAUCUCCCAACAUUCUGAAAAUUGAGCCUCAAAUUUCUAAAGGGGAUUUGAACACUGCAAAUGAAGAGGAAAUUAUUGAAGGUCUGAUGCAAACUCAUGAUGUAACAUUAAGUAAUCUUCGCUCACGCUUGACAAAGCUACAGGUGGUGCGACAUUUUUGGGAGCGCAAUGAUAUUAAAGGUGCUAUUAAUGCUGUGAGAAAGCUGCCAGAUCAAUCUGUGCGUAUCUUUGGAAGUGGUUGUUCAAGCAGAUGUUAUCAGUGUCCUUUUGGAAAAGAUGGAGAUUCUGAACUUAGAUUUAUUUUCUUGCUUACUUCCUGUGCUCACAGGCUUGCUAGAUAGCAAGAUAGAAAGACAUGUAAAGGUAUCACUGGAUAUGCUGUUGAAGCUUGUAGCAGUUUUUGGUCCAACAAUACGUGCAACUGUUUCAGCACCUCCCUCUGUUGGUGUUGAUCUACAUCAAGAGGAAAGGAGGGAAUGCUGUAACCAGUGCUUUAUGGAGCUGCAAAAGAUCCAAAUGAAUCUUCCAAUACUAAUACGGAGAGGUGGUUUAUUGGCCAAGUCUGCCUUAGAGUUAAACCUUGUUCUUCAACAGUCCUAAAAGAAGAUGUUGUACGAACUUUAAGCCAAACUGUGAAUGAGUAACUUGGCUUGAUAUGCUCGUAGGCAGGAAUGUGCUCAAAACAUGAAGGUUUUUCAUGUUGGAUUAUUGUGAUCAUAGCCUACAAUUUUGUCUUGAUGAUAUGCUCUAUUAGCUGUCAUCAUCGGCUUUGUUGAUGGAAGAGCAUUAUAGCUUGUGAGAUGUGUGAGAAAGUUGAAUGAGUUCUUUUACCUCAUGCUUAGACACUUGAAGGUGGAAGCAACCAUGUGAGGAUCUUGUCUUCAACAUUUCUGAAGGCUUGUGUUCAUAACUUCAGUUCACUGAUCUUGGCUAUUGCUUGUAUGUAAUUUUUGCUUUUUUUAAAUUUGUUCCUUCUGGUUUUUACUGGUAGUGUUACUGACCCAAAGUGGGGUUUGGUGCACCUUGGCCACUGCUUGGAGUGCCUAUCAGCAAAAGUAUAAGUAAGAUGUAUGUAGUAGUAGUAGUCGUAGUUAUAGUCGUCAUGCAUAUUUCUCUGUAUAUCUCAUAUUCUAUGUUCAAUGAAAUGGAUCUUCAAUUUUUUGUUCAAACUGCUCCAAAUUAUAUUG